rnacentral:rRNA from 1 species
GUGGGGAAUAUUGGACAAUGGGCGCAAGCCUGAUCCAGCCAUGCCGCGUGAGUGAUGAAGGCCUUCGGGUUGUAAAGCUCUUUAGCCGAUGAUUAUAAUGACUGUAGUCGGAAAAUAAGCCCCGGCUAACUUCGUGCCAGCAGCCGCGGUAAUACGAAGGGGGCGAGCGUUAUUCGGAAUCACUGGGCGUAAAGCGUGCGUAGGCGGCUUUGCAAGUUGGGAGUGAAAGCCCAGGGCUCAACCCUGGAAUUGCUCUCAAAACUGCAAGGCUCGAAUUCGGGAGAGGAUAGCGGAAUUGUCAGUGUAGCAGUGAAAUGCGUAGAUAUUGACAGGAACACCAGUGGCGUAAGCGGCUAUCUGGACCGAUAUUGACGCUGAGGCACGAAAGCGUGGGGAUCAAACAGGAUUAGAAACCCUUGUAGUCC